GAAGUAAAAGUCGUAACAAGGUUUCGUUGGUGAACCAGCGGAGGGAUCAUU
rnacentral:rRNA from 1 species